rnacentral:rRNA from 1 species
AUUGAACGCUGGCGGCAGGCCUAACACAUGCAAGUCGAGCGAGCGGCGGACGGGUGAGUAAUGUAUGGGGACUGCCCGAUAGCGGGGGAUAACUACUGGAAACGGUAGCUAAUACCGCAUACUAUCGGAUAACCCAUAUGUGUGUAGCUAGUAGGUGAGGUAAUGGCUCACCUAGGCUCCGAUCCCUAGCUGGUCUGAGAGGUGGAGCAGCGACACUGGGUCUUAGACACGGCCCAGAAUCCUACGGAGGCAGCAGUGGGGAAUAUUGCACAAUGGGCGCCAGCCUGAUGCAGCCAUGCCGCGUGUAGGAAGAAGGCCCUAGGGUUGUAAAGUACUUUCAGUCGGGAGGCGUUACCGACAGAAGAAGCACCGGCUAACUCCGUGCCAGCAGCCGCGGUAAUUC